rnacentral:rRNA from 1 species
AUUGAACGCUGGCGGCAGGCAUAACACAUGCAAGUCGAACGAGUGGCGGACGGGUGAGUAAUGUCUGGGAAACUGCAUGAUGGAGGGGGAUAACUACUGGAAACGGUAGCUAAUACCGCAAACCAUCGGAUGUGCACAGAUGGGAUUAGAUAGUAGGUGGGGGAAAGGCUCACCUAGGCGACGAUCACUAGCUGGUCUGAGAGGAUGACCAGCCACACUGGAACUUAGACACGGUGCAGACUCCGCCGGGAUGCAGCAGUGGGGAAUAUUGCACAAUGGGCGCAAGCGUGAUGCAGCCAUGCCGCGUGUAUGAAGACGGCCUUCGGGUUGGAAAGUACUUUCAGCGGGGAGGCGUUACCCGCAGAAGAAGCACCGGCUAACUCUGUGCCAGCAGCCGCGGUAAUUC